CAUAAAAGAUGACAACAGCAGCUAGGCCAACUUUUGAACCUGCGAGAGGGGGGAGAGGAAAAGGAGAAGGUGAUUUGAGCCAGCUCUCAAAGCAGUAUUCAAGUAGAGACCUACCUUCUCAUACAAAGAUAAAAUAUAGGUAACGAAGACUUUUCAUUUUCUUGUUCAGAAAACAAGACUAAAAAUGUUAAAUGGCAUGGUCAUGAGACUGUACCAUGUUUGAGGAUUGAUCGCUUAAGUCAUCUAUUUUCAUAGGCGUAGAAUGCAAUGGAGUAUUUGACAUUAACAUUAUGCUCUGAUUAUAAUGCACUACUGUAUAUUACUGAUGCAGAAAUUGCUGUUAACUGGGAAUUUCCAUAUGUAGGUGGCACAGUAAUAGUUACCUCAGAGGGCCUGUGCACGGUCUACACUAAUCAUUAUGAGAUUAAAAGUGUCACGGUAAUGAGCCCUGAGAUGACAUGGCUAACAAAAAGUAAAGACAUUUUAAUUCAUCUGCAGCCUUAUGGGAAAAUAUGUGUGACUCACUUUGUGCUUUUUGAAAUAUUGGAAACAUCACAAGGAUGUAACUUGUAUCCAUGUUGCCUAAGUAACAUUUUUGCCCUCAUUUGUUUCUCCUUUAGACAAACCACUCAGGAUGCCCCUGAAGAGGUUCGCAACCGUGACUUCAGGAGAGAGCUAGAGGAGAGAGAGCGAGCUGCCGCCAGAGAAAAAAAUAGAGAUCGUCCAACACGAGGUACUAACACUACCCCCAGACAUUUGUCUCCUGAAAUUAGGUCAAUAACGGUUUUUCUUUCAUGUUCUAAUUGGAACUGAUCAGUAUUUUGUUUGCCUUUAAAAUAUUGGUGUGAACAGUUUAAAAUAUUGUUUGCUUUAAGACAUCAGUAACACUUUCUUAAGCGAUUAGAUUAGCGCUGAUGAGGUUGGGUUCUAAUUCCAUCUGUGCUUCUGUGGUAGAAGGAACAGGAUGACCUGGGGAUAUCUAGUAGCUGUUGUUUCAGUUCACAUAAAGGUGUUUUGGUUUUUUUUUUAAUCUUUUUUUUUUAAUGUUUAUUUAUUUUUUGAGAGAGAGACAGAGCUCGAGAGGGGAAGGGCCAGGGAGAGAGGGAGACACAGAAUCCGAAGCAGGCUCCAGGCUACGAGCUGUCAGCACAGAGCCCGAUGCAGGGCUCGAACUCAGAAAUUGCGAGAUCGUGACCUGAGCGGAAGUCAGACGCUUAACCGACUGAGCCACCCAGGCGCCCCUCACAUAAAGGUUUUUACUGUUGAGAAUAGCCACACUCCUUGAGCCCCAUAAGCUUCUGUCUAUGAGGGUCUCUGAGUUUUGACGCUAGUUUUUGGCAGGCAUUUACAGGCAUCAGUUACAGUAGCUUUUUUAUAUUUUCAGUAUAUGUAAACUAUUUCCUCAAUUUCCCAAGAGAGGCUAUAUAGUUCUCCUAUUCAAAUCAAUACUUUCAUUAAUUCAUUCAACAAAUACUUAACCAAGGGCACAUUCCAGGCACUGUGGUUCCUGUAAGCUGUUUGUGCCCACAUGUCCCUAAAAUGUUACAAGAAAUGCAGUGUUUAUUUUAGUAAGCUAAAUGAUGUUUGUUUUCCCCCAGAACAUACAACCUCCUCAUCAGUGUCAAAGAAACCUCGGUUAGACCAGAUUCCUGCUGCCAACCUUGAUGCAGAUGAUCCUCUAACAGAUGUAUGUUUUAUUUCCUCCAUUGAUCUCCACGUGAUCAUUUUUUUAUUGUGUUUUCUGAAAUGCUUUUUUUGUUCUUUGACUUUGAGAAGUGACCUGUAUUUAUUUACUUCCUGUUAUUCACAUGUAGCCCUGACAUCAGUGUUAAGCUUUAUGGUUGAUUUUUAAGUGUAUUUAUUUAUUUUGAGAGAGUGAGAGCAUGAGCAGGGGAGAGGCAGAAAGAGAGAGGGAGGAUCCCAAGCAGGCUCCGCGCAGAGCUGGACACGGGGCUUGGUCUCACGAACCGUGAGAUCAUGACCUGAGCCAAAAUCAGGAGUUGGACACUUAACCGAUUAAUCCACCCAGGCGCCCCAUGGUUGAUUCUUAAACAAAAAGUAUUAAUCACAAGAGUAAUCAAACUUCAAGGGCAAGUUUGAUCUCCAGAGAACCACAUAAGGAAGUGAUCUAUUAAAGAAUAAGCUUCCCUAAAAAAGAAUUCUCUGUACUAAAUCCUGGAGGUUGACCAUGUUUUCUGUACCCCCAGAGGGCAUUCCUCAUCCUAGGGUGUCUGUCAGCACCCCCAAGAGUUGAACCCAGGGGCCUUUCCACAUUAGAUACCAAAGGUGCCCUCUCUAGAUGUGCACUUCAACUUAGUGGCUUCCUCUGCUUAGGAAGGGAAGCGAUCUAAGUGGAAGGUUUUUAGAAUUAGUGCUUUAGUUAACAUUAAAAUUCAGUGGGGCCCUAUAGUCUGUAAUUAACUCGCAAUUUUCUGCAUACAGUGGGAAAACAUGAGUGGCCUUUCGUGGGGAGCAUCAAACUAAAUGUAUAUGUCAACAAUUAAUUCCAGACCUGACAGACUGAAUUCAGUAGUGAACUCAGUAAUUAAAUAAAGGGAACCCAAUUUUAAAUUGGAUUUAAUAACUAUUUGUUUGAAAUUAUUCUGAGAAUGUAGCGCCCCUUUUUGUACUUUUGAUUAUCCUUACUUCCUAGCUUAAAAGUUGUUUUGAGCUAGUAAAAUUAUUUGACUCUCAGGGUGAUACACUGUGUACAUAUGUACUGCGUGUAUCAGUGUAGUAUUUCUUCUCUGAUUUUAGAACUUUUCAUGUGUAAAUUUGACCCUGUAAAUUUGGAAGAUAUUUUGUUACCCUAUUUGAAGUUAUAAUCUCAAACAUAUGAGGGACAUUUUAGUAAGUAUUCUGUAAGCUUGUUUGUGGGGUUUUAUUUUAUUUUUUGGUUGCUUGUUGAUUUUAAUUAUAUUUAAGUACAUUUAUCUUCUCCAACGGGAAACUGACCACUGCCCCAGAGAUUUGAUAAAUGUGAUUUUUAUGGAAAAAUAAAUGAAUAAUGUGCAUUUUCUUUCCAAUCUCCUGGGCCGUUGUCAUUCUUUUUCAGGAGGAAGAUGAAGAUGAAGAUUUUGAAGAGGAGAGUGAUGAUGAUGAUACUGCAGCUCUUCUUGCAGAGCUAGAAAAAAUUAAAAAAGAAAGAGCUGAAGAGCAGGCCAGGAAGGUAAAAUGGAAGUACUAAAUAUUUACAUCUUUCUCCAUCUUCUGUGCUAAACUAGAAAUAUUUUUUGAUGUAAGUAAUAUCAUCUUGUAUUAGAAAUCAUCCAUGCCAUGUCUAGGUAUUACAGUGCUUGUAGGUCUGUAAGUCCCAUUAUUUUUGUGCCAUCCUAACUUCCUUGGUUGUGUUAAAAAUUCUUUCCGGGGCGCCUGGGUGGCGCAGUCGGUUAAGCGUCUGACUUCAGCCAGGUCACGAUCUCGCGGUCCGGGAGUUCGAGCCCCACGUCGGGCUCUGGGCUGAUGGCUCAGAGCCUGGAGCCUGUUUCCGAUUCUGUGUCUCCUUCUCUCUCUGCCCCUCCCCCGUUCAUGCUCUGUCUCUCUCUGUCCCAAAAAUAAAUAAACGUUGAAAAAAAAAAUUAAAAAAAAAAAAAAAAUUAAAAAAAAAAAAAUUCUUUCCAAAUAGCUCAGACAUGCCUAAUAAUACUACCAGUUUGCUCUUUGUUCACAUACUUGUUCAUAUGUUCAGCAGACAUUGAGUCAUUGUCCGGUAAGUGUCAGAGGAAUCAAAGUUGAAUACGAUAUAUAAUCAUGGCCUACCGAGAACCCAUGGAUAUAAUGAGGCUAUCUUUGUCUCCUCUUUGCAGCCUUCUUUCCAGGCCUAUGUUGAUAUAGUCUGUCAAUAGGUUUUAUAUAACUUAGGGCAGUUUACCUAACUUCUGGGUCCCCAUAUUCUCUCCAUUUAUACAGUGAAAGAAAAGAAUGUCUGUCUCAGUGAGAGUCACAAGGAUUACAUAGGAUCCAUAGUACAUACUUUUUGUUUUAAUUUUUUUUUUACAUUUAUUUUUGAGAGAGAGAGAGAGAGAGAGCGCGCGCGCGCACAAGUGGGGGAGGGGCAGAGAGAGAGGGAGACACAGAAUCCAAAGCAGGCUCCAGGCUCCGAGCUGUUAGCACAGAGCCCGAUGUGGGGCUCGAACCUACGAACCGUGAGAUCAUGACCUGAGCUGAAGUCCGUUGCUUAACCGACUGAGCCACCCAGGCGCCCCCAUAGUACAUACUUGUAAACUUUGGGUGAAUUGGCCAUAGUAGUAAAAAUAAGAAACAGGUGAGCUCGAACAGGUCACAGCUUUAGUGGUUCACAAGCCAGCGCUAAAGGAGUUUGGACUCGGGUUUUGAAGGCCAUGAGGAGCUAGUUGAUUUCAGCAGGAGAUUGAUAAGGUUGGAUAUGCAUUUUAUUUUUUUGUUUAUUUUAUUAUGAAAUAUUUCAGUAAUACCGGGAAACAUGAAUAAUAAAAUUAUUGGAUACGCAGUUUGGAAAGAUUACGUUGGCAGAGGUAUGGAGGUUGUAUUGAGAGAACUGAUUGCGGAGGCUGUUCCAGUAAUCCUCACAUGCAAUUAUGAUAAUUUUGCAUAAUAGGAAUUGGAAUUGAGAGACGCAAGUAGAUGCUGAUAGAGCUGUCGAGGAAGAAAAAUUGACCAGAUAAAGUGGCUGAUUAGAUGUGGCAGCCACGAUGACCCCCCAGUUUCUGGGGAGAUGUUGCUGCCAGUCACUAAUACAGGGGAUGGCAGAAGGAUGAGCGUGUUUAGACGGAGAGAAAAGAGAUGACGAACUCUGGAACAGGUUGAAUUUGAUUCAUUACGAGACAUUCAGAUGAAGAUAUCUGCUUCCACUUUCAAACAAAACAACUCAGCUUUUUUUAAUGAGCCUCUCUCUGUGCAAGCUUGAACCAAGCUUGAACCAAGAAUUUGUUCUGUUUAAAGGGGGGAAAAAGACUAACAUGGGUUCAUGUGAGGAGUCUAGGGAAGUAGAACAUUGCUGGAUUUCAAAUUGGAAGAAGAAUAUUUUUUUUUAAAUUUUUUUUUUAACAUUUAUUUAUUUUUGAGACAGAGAGCAUGAAUAGGGGAGGGUCAGAGAAAGAGGGAGACACAGAAUCUGAAACAGGCUCCAGGCUCUGAGUGGUCAGCACAGAGCCCGAUGCAGGGCUCGAACCCACGGACCGUGAGAUCAUGACCUGAGCCGAAGUCGGAUGCUUAACUGACUGAGCCACCCAGGCGCCCCGGAAGAAGAAUAUUUUAAGGAUAGUUCUCAUCAAAGUUUGGCAUAAUUCCCAUAAUAGCCUAUAAUUGUAUCUAAUUUUUAAAAAUCAAAGAAUUAUAAGAACUUUCCUGAUAUCACUUGCACACCACUAGAGGGCAGUUGUUCUAUUCCAGAAUCUUUCAGCUUGCCUAACAGCUCUAGAUACGUAAAGAGACAUAGAAUUCAAAUGCAUUUGGUUGACCGUUAGGAAAGAUAAAUGUAUUUCAUUUCAUUUAUUUUUUUAACGUUUGUUUAUUUUUGAGAGAGAGACAGAAACAGAAUGCGAGCUGGGGUGGGGGGGCAGAGAGGGAGGGAGACCCAGAAUCCAUAGCAGGCUCCAGGCUCCGAGCUGUCAGCACAGAGCCCCACACAGGGCUCGAACUCACGAGCUGUGAGAUCAUGACCUGAGCUGAAGUCGGACGCUUAACCAACUGAGCCACCCAGGCACACCAAGAAUAAACAUUUUAGACAAAGAUCUUGGAAUUUUGUGGGGCUCAUCUACUGUCUUUGUACAAAAAUGUAUUGAUGUUUCUUGGGAUUGAAUGACAGUUAUUUCUUUUUUUUCCUGUUUGCCUGUCUGGUUUUCUAGUGGCUGGUUUUUGAGGUGUCCCAAAAUAACAUUUUCAAACCAGUCACCCUAUGUCAGGGGUUAGGAAGCUUUCUGUAAAGGGCCCGAUGGUAAAUAUUUCAGGACAUUUCAGGCUUGCAGACCAUGCAGUCUCUAGUGCUCUCUGUAGCACAGAAGCCACUGCAAACAAUACCAAAAUGAAUGAGGUUGACUAUCCAUGUUCCAGUAACAUUUUAUUUAUAAAAACGGAGCAGUUUGGAUUUGAUAUGCAGGCUGUUACCCAUUAUUAGCCUAUGUUUGGGAGCCAUAAUGUGCCUGGUACUUGAGUAUGGAAAGGGUGGGCACCUUUGUUCCAGUGCUGUGUUUGGCAAUCAGCCAGGACUGUGAAAGAAAAAAUAAUGCAGAUAUAAAAUGUCCAGAACUUUAUCAUAUCACAUACAUUAUUAUUAUAAGUUGGAUACAUUGUGUAUUUGAGCUCUUUUUUUUAUAGCAUCUCAGAGAAAUAUCUUUUCACUUUCAGCAUCAAUAUAAUUUGUUAAAAAUACAUAGUUUUUAGAAAGCUGUCUGCUCUUAAUCUAUGAUGGAUGCUCUUAAUUUUGUUUGCUUAAGGUCUGAAAGUGACCUAAAGUAAUUCCCCUGUUUAUUUCCCUGAAAGUUGCAUCUUGUCACUUCCCAGUUAUUUGGCCUCUUAAAAAUGAAAUCUGUUGUUCACACUUGGAUAUUAAAAUGAAAUAAUCAUUAGCCUGUAUGAAAAAUUAGGUUAUUUUUUAAAGUGAUAUAAAACACUAUUAGGUUCAUUUUAAAUUGAAAGUCUCUUUUUCCUUGAUCAAUUUUUGUCAUCCCUAAAAUCCAAUAAAGUAGGAUUUAUCUUUGGUUUAAAAUAGCCUGAACAGAUAGAUCAGCAGUUACUAUGGCUAAGAAUUCUAGGCAUUUUAUAUUUUUAAGAAUGAAACAGGGUGAUUUGGGUUUAAAGAGGUUAAUGCUAAAUUAAAAGUGAAGAAGGACAAGCUUGUAGCUGAUGAAGAAUGAGAGGUGUAAAAAUGGAGAAUUAGUAACAAUAAAUGAUAAGAACAAAAUGGAAAAACCUGUGGUGAAUUAGUAGAAAUGCAUGUUAACUGAAUAUAAGAAUUUACAUGAUAGUUUGUUUUAUUUUAGGAGCUACUUCUUGGUUAAUAAUAACUUGUCACUAAUCCUGGAGCUGCAAGUUUACAUUGUUAAUAGUUCAAAAUAAAAUUAUUUUUUAAUUGUGGUUAUAUAUAGCCCAUCUUUAAAAAUAAAGGUAAUAGUUUUGCUAAAUGUAUCUUUUUGAUGUUUAAUAUAUUCUGAAAUUAUUAGAAUAUAUUUAUUGAUGUAUUAUCUUAGAAUGAGCGAUGAAUUUUGUAUGUACUUCAAGAAAGAAAAUAAGUUUAAAUAUGCAUUCUAGAAUUUCAGAGUCGGACUAAUGAAUGUAUGAUGACAAGCAUGAAAUAUAGUAAAAAAGCCAAAUUGUUUGGAUUAAGUGAGACUUUUCUGGUAUAUCUUAUAUCUUUUUUUUAAAAGAAAAAAAAGGCUACCUUGAUUCUUACUCCAGCUCCCUCAUAAAAAUCCUAACAGUCUUUUAAAAUAGGAGUUAUGCAAGAAGAUUGAUCCCAGAAUUAAUGUAAAUAAAUGAGCCCUCCUCUGUCAUUGACAGGAACAAGAACAAAAAGCUGAAGAAGAAAGAAUACGUAUGGAAAACAUAUUGAGUGGAAACCCUCUCCUUAAUCUCACUGGCCCAUCCCAGCCUCAGGCCAACUUCAAAGUUAAAAGAAGGUACUUUACACUAAUGAGUUGGAUAUAUAUUGCAGAUUGGGAGUUUUAUACCAAGCUCUAUUGUGUGAAGGCUCUAAAAACCCCUUUUUCACUGGUCAUCUUCUCCGUCAGAUAUUAGAAUGAUAGAAGAAGGAAUGAACAUUUACUUACUUUCAGUAGAUAUUUCUGAUAACUAGCUGUGUACCAAAUACUGUUGUUUUUUAAUUUUUUUAGUGUUUGUUUAUUUUUGAGAGAGAGACAGAGUGCAAGCUGGGGAGGGGCAGAGAGAAAGGGAGACACAGAAUUCGAAGCAGGCUCCAGGCUCUGAGGUGUCAGCACCGAGCCCGCUGCAGGACUUGAACUCACGAGCCGUGAGAUCACGACCUGAGCUGAAGUCGGCUGCUUAACCGACUGAGCCACCCGGGCGCCCCCAGAUACUGUUCCAAGCGCUAGGGAUGGAGCAGUGCAUUGAGCCGUUGGUCCUACAGAGGUUACAUUUUACAUCUGUGUGGGAAGAGUCCCAAGCUCACCCUUCACAUUCAGAGGCUCGCCAGAAGGACACAGAGGACUCGGCAUAUAGUUGUCCUCGUACUAACAGAGCCACAGCCAGGUCAUAAGGGGGAAAGCUACAGGAGGAAUCCAUGUGCACACUUCCUCAUGCUCUGUCCCUCUUCUGAGGGUCACCCAGAAUAUUCUUUACUCUAGCAGUGACAGGUGGACAUGGGCCAGCACAUGAGCCUUACUGGUUAUACCCCAGUAGUUUCUUCUUUUGUUGCCAUAUACUAUAGUGGAUGAUUACUAAGUGGUAACUGAUCAAAGAGCAUAAAAUCUGGUAAUCCGAACUAUAGUAAAUUGACCAGUUAUUAUCAUCUAGAACCAUCUACAGUAACAGGGUAAUACCAGGGCUGCCUCUUUGUUUCAGACCUGAAAACAUUAAAUAUUUAUGCAAUUAAGCCGGUGUAUUUCUGCUUUUUAACUCAGAGUUCCUCAUACAGGAGAAGUCAUAAGAAUAUAUGUUCUAAAUAGGAAUUGCCUUUCCUGCUGUAAUAAAGCAAAAUUACAACCUAUUAAGAAUUACUUUAUUCUUUUGGGUGUAAUUGCUGUAUCAGAUGAUGUAUAUGUUGAGCAUAUUUCUGGGUAAUGACUAAGCUUUGCAACUCACUUUUUUCAUGUCUCCUGAUACAGACAUGUAAGUGUGCUGUUUGCUUUUUUCCUUUAGGUGGGAUGAUGAUGUUGUUUUCAAGAACUGUGCAAAAGGUGUAGAUGAUCAGAAGAAAGACAAAAGAUUUGUAAAUGAUACACUGCGAUCUGAAUUUCACAAAAAGUUCAUGGAGAAAUAUAUUAAAUAGUACAGUUUUAUGUGCUUAAUUAAAGACUGUAAAAUGUAAACGAUCAUUCUGACUUUGUUCUGUUUUCUCUUUCCCCAUCUACAUUAUGCAUAGGCUUCCCUAAUUUUAAGUUCCAAAAUAUACUCUCCUUUAUGGAUCCAUUAUUUGAUAAGGACUUGGGAAUUGGUUUAACCUAGUUUCCAUUCUUGGAAUAUUUCCAGUCAUAUGUUUUCCUUUUAAUAUGGGAAAGGGAGCCUUCUUAUAAUAAAUAUUUUGAAAAAUCUAUAUAACCAAAUCUGUGUCCCCAACUUUUUUGUUGAAAUGUAUGCAGCUUUUAAAACAUUGCAUAUUUUGUUUUGUGAAUUGUAUUUCUUUGUGCAUUAAUUUUUUCUCCUCAUUUCUUUGACAUUGAUUUAAGGUCAGUUAAUGUGUAAUGUCUUCUCUGCUUUUUUAAAAGCGUGAUGGAAGAUGAAAAGAAUUCUGUUUUGGCCCACAUGUUGGUAUAGAAGAGUGUCCUCAACCUCUAAGCUCCCUGAGUGUGUGUCUGAGGGUGCAUGGGGUAUCUUUCGCUUCUGCAAGCACUCCUUUCUUUUUCUCUUGGCCCAAAACAGCUCCUUAAGCAUGCCCAGUAAGCAUGUGGCACUCACCUGUGUUUUCCUGGAUACUCAACGGCCAUGUCUCUUUUGAAUGAGAUAGAGUUUGCACACUGAUCGACUUUAGGAUGCAGAGCGUAGGAAAGUUCUAAACAGCAAACAGUACAUGAAAUAAAACCUUUGGAAAUA
rnacentral:lncRNA from 1 species